rnacentral:rRNA from 1 species
GACGAACGCUGGCGGCGUGCUUAACACAUGCAAGUCGAACGGUAAGGCCCCAGCUUGCUGGGGUACACGAGUGGCGAACGGGUGAGUAACACGUGGGUGACCUGCCCCGCACUUCGGGAUAAGCCUGGGAAACUGGGUCUAAUACGGAAACGACCGCCCCGUGGGGGUGUGGUGGGAAGUUUUUCGGUGUGGGAUGGGCCCGCGGCCUAUCAGCUUGUUGGUGGGGUAAUGGCCUACCAAGGCGGCGACGGGUAGCCGGCCUGAGAGGGUGGACGGCCACAUUGGGACUGAGACACGGCCCAGACUCCUACGGGAGGCAGCAGUGGGGAAUAUUGCACAAUGGGCGGAAGCCUGAUGCAGCGACGCCGCGUGGGGGAUGACGGCCUUCGGGUUGUAAACUCCUUUCACCAUCGACGAAGGUUUUCUGACGGUAGAUGGAGAAGAAGCACCGGCUAACUACGUG